CUGGCGGUCCGGAAGGCCCUCGGGCCCCCGGACCCUCGGGUCCCCCGCUCGCGGGGGGCUGCCCGCCGGAGUGCCGAAACCAAACUCUUGAUAUUUUAUGUCUCUCUGAGUAAACUUUUAAAUAAGUCAAAACUUUCAACAACGGAUCUCUUGGUUCUGGCAUC
rnacentral:rRNA from 1 species